rnacentral:rRNA from 1 species
ACGAGUUUGAUCCUGGCUCAGAACGAACGCUGGCGGCAGGCCUAACACAUGCAAGUCGAGCGAGGACUUCGGUCCUAGCGGCGGACGGGUGAGUAACGCGUGGGAAUAUGCCCUUUUCUACGGAAUAGCCUCGGGAAACUGGGAGUAAUACCGUAUACGCCCUACGGGGGAAAGAUUUAUCGGAGAAGGAUUAGCCCGCGUUGGAUUAGGUAGUUGGUGGGGUAAUGGCCUACCAAGCCGACGAUCCAUAGCUGGUUUGAGAGGAUGAUCAGCCACACUGGGACUGAGACACGGCCCAGACUCCUACGGGAGGCAGCAGUGGGGAAUCUUAGACAAUGGGGGAAACCCUGAUCUAGCCAUGCCGCGUGAGCGAUGAAGGCCUUAGGGUUGUAAAGCUCUUUCAGCUGGGAAGAUAAUGACGGUACCAGCAGAAGAAGCCCCGGCUAACUCCGUG